rnacentral:rRNA from 1 species
GACGAACGCUGGCGGCGUGCUUAACACAUGCAAGUCGAACGGAAAGGCCCCUUUUGGGGUACUCGCGUGGCGAACGGGUGAGUAACACGUGAGUAACCUGCCCUUGACUUCGGGAUAACUUCCUUAAACUGGGGCUAAUACCGGCUAGGAAUCCUUGCUUCCUGGUUGGGGUUGGAAAGCUUCGGCGGUUUUGGAUGGACUCGCGGCUUAUCAGCUUGUUGGUGGGGUAGUGGCUUACCAAGGCUUUGACGGGUAGCCGGCCUGAGAGGGCGACCGGCCACAUUGGGACUGAGAUACGGCCCAGACUCCUACGGGAGGCAGCAGUGGGGAAUAUUGCACAAUGGGCGGAAGCCUGAUGCAGCAACGCCGCGUGCGGGAUGACGGCCUUCGGGUUGUAAACCGCUUUCAGCAGGGGCGAAGCUUGUGGUGACGGUACCUGCAGAAGAAGCACCGGCUAACUACGUG